CUCAGGCACGCACACAUCCGUCUCACUUGGUCGAUUUUAUAAUGCGAUAUCCCAGGACAAUGUAUCGCCGACCUUUUCAUUUUUAAGCACAUGCGGAAGCAGUUAAAAUCCCCAGACAAUAAAACGAUGGGAUAGAAAAACAGGGCCAUAUUUUUCAUAUUGAAAUUUAUAACCAAACUUUUAUACAAACCACAAACCCUUUCAUAACUAUUCACAUCAAAACGGAGAUCUCAAAAGAAGACAGAAACUUAGAUGAACUAGGCCGUACUCAAGGCCCCUCUCAGUAUUAUCUUCUUCUUCCAAAAAUCCUUUUCUUCAGAUCUCACCUCCGAGUUCUCCUUCUCGGAUUCCUCCUCCUCAGCUCUUCAGCGGGGUCCUGAAAUGGUUUCCCCAAACUGGGAUGAGAUUACGUCUCAGCGAGUUCUACCCCACUAAGCCCGAUUAAUAAACCAAUAUACUAAAGGCUGCCCAAACACGCACAGGGCAGAGGACUUACCUUGGCCUCUGAUCCCACCUGCAAGUCAGUACAAUUCACAAUAAACAGCCAUUCGCUUCAAACAAAUCGAACUAGUCGAUUACAUGUCAUACAAUUCAAUCCCCACUAUGGGAUAUUUAAAAGCUAGGCCACGUGCAUUCUCCAGGAUGACCUUCCAAGUCUCCGAGCCACGUGCCUCAAACCUCGAGCCCACGUGCAUUCUCUAAGGCGACCUCUUCGCCAAGGUGGUACAUCAAGCCACCGAGCCACGUGUCCUUUCUACGAUGCCCGGGCCCACGUGCAUUCUCUAAGGUACUCGCUUACCAAAGUGACGCAUCAGAUUACCGAGCCACGUGUCCUUUUAGAUGCCUGGGCCCAUGUGCAUUCUCUAAGGUACUUGCUUACCAAAGUGACGCAUUAGAUCACCGAGCCACGUGCCCUUUUAGAUGCCAAACUCUGUCACCGAGCCACGUGCAUUCUCCAGGACGACAUACCAAGUCUCCGAGCCACGUGCAUUCUCUCAGGCGACCUCUUCGCCAAGGUGACAUAUUCAACCACUGAACUCACGUGCAUUUUCCAGGUGACAUUCCAAUUCACCAAGCCCACGUGUCCUCUUUCAAGUGGUUACCAAUCUUCUUUCAAUACCAACAACCAAUGCUCAACGAUUUCUCAAUCAAAUAAUUAAAUCAACUCAACAAAGCAUUAUAAAUGCUGAAUAACAUACUUGGCCAAUCACCAAUCAAUAAUUCAAUCUCAAUCGAUUCCAAUCAAUUUAGGGUAAAUCCCUAAAAUAUCACAAUUCAUUCAAUUCCAUACAACGUAGAGCUCAAAUAAAUAAACGGACUGCGCCACGACGAUCAGCACGAGAUUUCGGUUGUCGGUCAUCAACAUCUUAAUUUCUGAAAAAUAAUUAAUUAAAUAAUUAAUUUCGAAAAUUAAAUAAUUAAUAUUAAAAAUUCAAUUUAGCUCAAAAUAAAGCCCGAUUAAAUAAACGGACUUCACCACGGUCAUCAGCACAAUAUUCCGGUCCCGAGCCAUCUCAGUUGAAUUUUCAGAAAAUAAAUAAUUAUUUUAUUUAAUUCCGAAAAUUAAUAUUUAAAUACUAAUAAUUCCACUUAGGCCCGAAAAGCCUAAUUGGAGCCCACUAAGGGUCGGAAAAAAUCCCGAGGCACUUCCAAUAAUUAGUAGACCAUGUCUACUUGUUAAUUGCACAAUCAAUUUAUCUAAAUCGCAUCACAAUUGACUAAUAAUUGCUAAUUUAUUCUAAUCUAACAACCUAAACAUAAUUAAUUAAAACUAAACCAACCUUAAGCAUAAUUAACCAACUAAUUCUGGAUUAGUGAGAUUACUCACCAAAUCACCCGCAAAUCGGAUCAAUCCGACGGGGCGACGCGAGGAACUCCAAACUCCAAAGCACGGCUCGGGUUUGGGGCCGGGAAACGUCCCAAAAGCGGGCCCGAAGUGCUGGAAACCCACUUCGUGGGUCUGCUGGACGGAGCUGAUCGGGGUCGCUCCGGCGGCUAGGGCGGCGAGGGGAGGCCGGCGGAGGGCGAGGGGGUCGCGGGGGUGGUCCGGCGGGGCUAGGGGGUGGCCGGAGGUGGCCGGACGGAGCUGGAACAGGAGCGAACAGCGGCUGGGUCGCGGCUGGAUCGCGCGGACGGAGGGACGGCGGCGGGACGGUGGCGACGACGAGCUGCGCUGCUUCUGCUCCAGUUUGCUGGUUCGCACGCGACGAAGGAAGGAGAAGAAGAAGCUGGUUCUAUCGUGUGCGGGAAGGAAGAAGAGAGAGGAGAGAGAAGAGAGGGGAGAGGAUAUGCAUUGACCGGUCAAAAAGGGAAGGGAGAGAGAGA
rnacentral:lncRNA from 1 species